rnacentral:lncRNA from 10 species
UAUAAUUGAAGUUCUGAGUAAAAUAGAUUCAGAAGGAGGAGUUUCAGCAAAUCAUACUAGUCGUGCAACGUCUACAGCAACAUCAGGAUUUGCUGGAGCUAUUGGCCAGAAACUCCCUCCAUUUUCUUAUGCUUAUACGGAACUGGAAGCUAUUAUGUAUGCCCUUGGAGUGGGAGCGUCAAUCAAGGAUCCAAAAGAUUUGAAAUUUAUUUAUGAAGGAAGUUCUGAUUUCUCCUGUUUGCCCACCUUCGGAGUUAUCAUAGGUCAGAAAUCUAUGAUGGGUGGAGGAUUAGCAGAAAUUCCUGGACUUUCAAUCAACUUUGCAAAGGUAUGCCUAAUAAAAAACCUUUAUUUUGCUUUUCUAUUUCUGUAAAUAUUAUUCAUUAAUGUCAUAUCUUAUAUAUAUGUGUGUG